rnacentral:rRNA from 1 species
CACGUAGGGUGCGAGCGUUGUCCGGAAUUAUUGGGCGUAAAGAGCUCGUAGGCGGUGUGUCGCGUCGGCCGUGAAAACCUGCAGCUUAACUGUGGGCGUGCGGUCGAUACGGGCAUCACUGGAGUUCGGCAGGGGAGACCGGAAUUCCUGGUGUAGCGGUGAAAUGCGCAGAUAUCAGGAGGAACACCGGUGGCGAAGGCGGGUCUCUGGGCCGAUACUGACGCUGAGGAGCGAAAGCGUGGGGAGCGAACAGG